GACGAACGCUGGCGGCGUGCUUAACACAUGCAAGUCGAACGGUGAAGCGCCUUCCUUUUUGGUGGGUGUGGAUGAGUGGCGAACGGGUGAGUAACACGUGAGUAACCUGCCCCCUUCUUCUGGAUAACCGCAUGAAAGUGUGGCUAAUACGGGAUAUUCUGGGUCUGUCGCAUGAUGGGUCUGGGAAAGAUAUUGUUUCGGUGGGGGAUGGGCUCGCGGCCUAUCAGCUUGUUGGUGGGGUGAUGGCCUACCAAGGCGGUGACGGGUAGCCGGCCUGAGAGGGUGGACGGUCACACUGGGACGGAGACACGGCCCAGACUCCGACGGGAGGCAGCAGUGGGGAAUAUUGCACAAUGGGCGCAAGCCUGAUGCAGCGACGCCGCGUGAGGGAUGGAGGCCUUCGGGUUGUGAACCUCUUUCGCCAGUGAAGCAGGCCUGCCUCGUUUGUGGGUGGGUUGACGGUAGCUGGAUAAGAAGCGCCGGCUAACUACGUG
rnacentral:rRNA from 1 species